GCAUAUCAAUAAGCGGAGGAAAAGAAACCAACAGGGAUUGCCCUAGUAACGGCGAGUGAAGCGGCAAGAGCUCAAAUUUGAAAGCUGGCCCCCUCGGGGCCCGCAUUGUAAUUUGCAGAGGAUGCUUCGGGCGUGGCCCCUGUCUAAGUGCCCUGGAACGGGCCGUCAGAGAGGGUGAGAAUCCCGUAUGGGAUGGGGUGCCCACGCCCGUGUGAAGCUCCUUCGACGAGUCGAGUUGUUUGGGAAUGCAGCUCUAAAUGGGUGGUAAAUUUCAUCUAAAGCUAAAUAUUGGCCGGAGACCGAUAGCGCACAAGUAGAGUGAUCGAAAGAUGAAAAGCACUUUGAAAAGAGAGUUAAAAAGCACGUGAAAUUGUUGAAAGGGAAGCGCUUGCGACCAGACUCGCCCCAGGGGUUCAACCGGCUUUCGGGCCGGUGUACUUCCCCCGGGGCGGGCCAGCGUCGGUUUUGGCGGCCGGUCAAAGGCCCCUGGAAUGUAACGCCCCCCGGGGCGUCUUAUAGCCAGGGGUGCCAUGCGGCCCGCCGGGACCGAGGAACGCGCUUCGGCUCGGACGCUGGCAUAAUGGUCGUAAGCGACCCGUCUUGAAACACGGACC
rnacentral:rRNA from 1 species